UGGGGAAUUUUGUACAAUGGGGGAAACCCUGAUCCAGCCAUCCCGCGUGUGCGAUGAAGGCCUUCGGGUUGUAAAGCACUUUUGGCAGGAAAGAAACGUCAUGGGUUAAUACCCCGUGAAACUGACGGUACCUGCAGAAUAAGCACCGGCUAACUACGUGCCAGCAGCCGCGGUAAUACGUAGGGUGCAAGCGUUAAUCGGAAUUACUGGGCGUAAAGCGUGCGCAGGCGGUUCGGAAAGAAAGAUGUGAAAUCCCAGAGCUCAACUUUGGAACUGCAUUUUUAACUACCGGGCUAGAGUGUGUCAGAGGGAGGUGGAAUUCCGCGUGUAGCAGUGAAAUGCGUAGAUAUGCGGAGGAACACCGGUGGCGAAGGCAGCCUCCUGGGAUAACACUGACGCUCAUGCACGAAAGCGUGGGGAGCAAACAGG
rnacentral:rRNA from 1 species